UACAGGAUGAAUCGCUGAAGUUGAGAGUGU
rnacentral:piRNA from 1 species